GACCAUAGCUCUCAGCAUCCUGAAAGCACCAGCUCCUGUCUGAUCUCAGAAGUUAAGCGGGGUCAGACCUGGCUGCAACUUGGAAGCGAGGUCCCCGGGAAUACCACAUGCUGUAGACU
rnacentral:rRNA from 11 species